rnacentral:misc_RNA from 1 species
UUUCCGUAGGUGAACCUGCGGAAGGAUCAUUACCGAGUGAGGGCCCUCUGGGUCCAACCUCCCACCCGUGUUUAUCGUACCUUGUUGCUUCGGCGGGCCCGCCUCACGGCCGCCGGGGGGCACCCGCCCCCGGGCCCGCGCCCGCCGAAGACACCGUUGAACGCUGUCUGAAGAUUGCAGUCUGAGCAUCUUAGCUAAAUCAGUUAAAACUUUCAACAACGGAUCUCUUGGUUCCG